rnacentral:rRNA from 1 species
AACGAACGCUGGCGGCAUGCCUAAUACAUGCAAGUCGAACGCCUGUAGCAAUACAGGAGUGGCGCACGGGUGAGUAACGCGUGGGAACCUGCCCUGGAGUGGGGGAUAACCCGGCGAAAGCCGGGCUAAUACCGCAUACGCCCUUGGAGCAAUCCUUGGGGAAAGAUUUUAUCGCUCUAAGGAGGGGCCCGCGUCGGAUUAGCUAGUUGGUAGGGUAACGGCCUACCAAGGCGAUGAUCCGUAGCUGGUCUGAGAGGAUGAUCAGCCACACUGGGACUGAGACACGGCCCAGACUCCUACGGGA